GUAUUCUCUGCUUGCAAAUUCCCUCCGUCGCCUUAGAAGUGAGCUGUGCGCCUUACUUCUCUGGACCCCUCUGGUUUCUGACUGCCUCCCUCGAUCGUCGACCCCCCACUUUGGACUCGGACCUCUUGAUGCCCUCUCAGCCCCCACGGAUGCCCUCUCAGCCCCCACGGACCCCCACCUGCCUCGCCCAACUGGACUGGUCGCCUUCCCACUCAACACGCACUUACAACAACCACUGGUAAAUAUUCAUUGGAACACUUCACAUAGUCCUGCAAACAAACACAGUAGCAUACACACUCCACCGCAUCAUCAAGCUCAAAAUAAACUGUUGAGCUUUACUCCUGUUGCUGUGUCGUCUCCUUCCCGACCAUACAUAACAGUACGUUCCAGCCAUGUCAGAACCAGAGGGCACAUGCAGACGCAAGUCUGCGUCCCUACCCCAACCCCCCACGGCUCCUGACCUCUCGUCCAUGCAUGCUCUGCUCCAGGAACACCAGUCUUGUUUUUCAAACCUGGAGAACAAACUUGAUGUUGCCUUUGCUAGUCUGCUGGCUCAACUGGAAAACCUUAGUCCAGGCCCUGCUCCUCCGCCUGUGUCGAGUUCCAGUGCUCCGGCAGCCACCACCUUUGGGUGUCCCAUCUACGUCCAGGAACCCAAGAUAUCCAGCCCCAGUCCCUUUGAGGGGGACUUUGAACUGUGUCGGGGUUUCUUGGUUCAGUGUGAACUAAUUUUUAAGCACCAACCAUCUCGCUACGCUUCUGACGGCGCUAAGAUAACAUUUGUGUUUUCACUGCUCACUGGACAGGCUCUCAAGUGGGCCACUGCAGCAGUAGACAAGACUUUGGGGCUGAGCACCAACUCUGCUGCUUUUCGAGCAGAGUUCCAGGCUAUGUUCGACCACACCGUGGACGGGGGGGAUGCUGCUUCAGACUGCACUCCAUCUGACAGGGUUCCCGCUCGGUUGCGGCCUACACCCUCGAGUUCCGCACUCUGGCGGCUGACAGCGAGGGGGGAGACAAGGCCCUUCGGAGUGCAUUCACGAGAGGACUGAGCGAGGAAAUUAAGGACGGUUUGCUGAGGGACCGACCUACUUCGUGUCGAGCCCUCAUCAACCUGGCUCUCUCUUUUGACCAAAGACUCAGUGAACAAGCAGCAGAGAGAGCGCAGGCCUCAGCUAGCUUCCCACGUAGCUCGCCAGCAAAGGGGUUACUGGUGAGCCACACAACUGUUCCCCAAAUCAAGAGAGACCCGGGGGCAUUCUCUUUCCUGCAUCCCUGUCAUGGAGCUCUAGGACUCUGACCGUGGGGGCCUACCUGGAUUCCGGAGCAGACGAAAGCUUCAUUGAUCACGAGUUUGCCCGCCAAGCAGGAAUAACCCUCAUUCCACUGGAGACAUUCCUGCCGGUACAAGCUCUGGACGGACAUUCCCUCGACCAAUAUCCCUGACCCUCUCGGGAAAUCACACCGAGACCAUUUGCCUCUGGAUGCUCAACGCUCCUGUCGCCCCGCUUGUCCUCGGGCGAUCUUGGCAAUGACAGCACGACCCCCACAUAUCCUGGUCCACGGGCAAGGUCCUUGCAUGGAGCACCACCUGCCACGCUAACUGCUUAAGGUCAGCAGUUCCCCCAGCCUGCAGGGUAAAGCCCACUUCACCUCCCAUUGAUCUCUCCUGUGUUCCUGCUACCUCUCAUUACCUUGCAGCAGUAUUUGACAAGACUGUACAAUCUAUCUCUACCGGAAAAGAAGGCCAUGAAGGACUACAUCACAGAGUCCCUCGCCUCAGAACCUGCAGGAGCACCAACAACAUGUCCGCUUGGUCCUCCAACGCUUGCUGGAGAACCGGUUGUUAGUCAAAGCGGAGAAGUG